rnacentral:tRNA from 1 species
GCCCUCUUAGCUCAGUUGGUAGAGCACUUCCAUGGUAAGGAAGGGGUCAUCGGUUCGAGUCCGAUAGAGGGCUUCA